UACGUAGGUGGCAAGCGUUGUCCGGAUUUAUUGGGUUUAAAGGGUACGUAGGCGGCUUUGUAAGUCAGUGGUGAAAUAUGGCAGCUCAACUGUCAGGGUGCCAUUGAUACUGCAGAGCUUGAGUACAGAUGAGGUAGGCGGAAUUGACGGUGUAGCGGUGAAAUGCUUAGAUAUCGUCAAGAACACCGAUAGCGAAGGCAGCUUACUGGGCUGUAACUGACGCUGAGGCACGAAAGUGUGGGGAUCAAACAGG
rnacentral:rRNA from 1 species